GACGAACGCUGGCGGCGUGCUUAACACAUGCAAGUCGAACGGAGCGAAUGAAAGCUUGCUUUUAUGAGCUUAGUGGCAAACGGGUGAGUAACACGUAGACAACCUGCCGACAGGAUGGGGACAACAUUCCGAAAGGAAUGCUAAUACCGAAUGAAGCGGAGGAGAGGCAUCUCUCCUGCGUGAAAGAUGGCCUCUUUUUAUGCUAUCACCUGUUGAUGGGUCUGCGUCUGAUUAGCUGGUAGGUGAGAUAACGGCUCACCUAGGCGACGAUCAGUAGCCGGUCUGAGAGGAUGAACGGCCACAUUGGGACUGAGACACGGCCCAGACUCCUACGGGAGGCAGCAGUGGGGAAUCUUCCGCAAUGGGCGCAAGCCUGACGGAGCAACGCCGCGUGAGUGAAGAAGGUCUUCGGAUCGUAAAGCUCUGUUGACGGGGACGAACGUGCGUGAUGCGAACAGUGUCAUGCAAUGACGGUACCUGUCGAGGAA
rnacentral:rRNA from 1 species